CCCACAUGAUGCUGCUGUUGGUGCAGGAGGGCCAUCUGCUUAAGUCAAGGGGACUGGUAAUGGACAGGAUAACCUUCCCAAGAGUGGGCGUUAGAAGAGGGGGUACAUGAAGGUGGCCUUCGGUCACCUAGGAAGGCUCCUUGCUGACCGUUUCCUGGACGUGGAGGUACAGAACGACCUGGGCCGAGUGAAAGCGACCAGCGAAGGUCACGCCGGCCCAGCAGCCUGGAGAAUGAGACCCACCACCCACAAACCCACUGGUGGAGAGCGGGCGAGGUCCCCGUGUGCGGUGAAGGAGCAGGGCACCAAGGAAGGCGGGCAGCUGCCUCUUGUUUUCGGCCAAGGGAGACGUUGAGGUGUCCCUCAGGACAGGACUUCAUUUGCGUGGGAGGGGAGAAGGGCGCUUCUGACUACUUUGCAUUGGUGUGUGGGCUGGACACAGUGAGAAGGAAAUUAAGCCUCCGCGGUGACAGUGUGUGUGAUCGCGGAGGAGGAGGACGCCCGCAGGCUGGCCCGGGGCCCGCCCCGCCCCAAGCCAGCCCGGACCCUCCGGGAGCCGGAGAGGAGUCCCGAAGAGGACCCCGCGGGAGCCCGUAGGGCUGGAGACAGCUCACUGCCGGCCCCUCCACCGCCCGGGUCCCGCGGGCUGCAAGGAGGGGAGGAGCCGCUGCGGACGGCACAGUCCCCAGGGGCCUCCCUGGGGUCUCCACCUUCUCCGGACUCCGUGGGGGUGCGCGUGGGAGGCCCGCACCGCCCUUCCGCAGACCCCGGGGGAAAGA
rnacentral:lncRNA from 1 species